rnacentral:lncRNA from 1 species
GCAGAAGUGCCGAGUCCCGGCCGGGGGCAGCCUCGCCGCCGCUCAGCUCGGGAAUCCCUGCCCCCCACCAGCACCUCAGUGGGGGAUACUGCAAGUUCAAGAAUUGGGGCCAGGAUCAGGUGGUGACAGAGCCACCUGGGUUUCCGGAGACUCUCAAGCCAACCCCAAGUCAUGACAAAUGCCAGUCGCCUUGGACAGAGGCAAGGUCAACCUGCUUGCCGCCCCCAGCCAGGCCCUGCCACCAAGGGGCCUGGACGCAGAGACCAGAGGCCUGAACUGGCAGACUGUCCUCACAGGCUGUGUGACGCUGGCUGGUCGUCCCAUCUCUCUGGGGCCCCACAGGACUGGGGACCAGGUCGUGGAAUGACAGUGGACCACAGUGGUCCGGGGACCCCGCUCGUUGGUGGCAGGCACAGGCCCGUGUGAUGGGGACAAUGAGCUUUGGUAUUUGUGAGUCCUGUCCAGAGCAUAGGUCCUCCUGUUCAGAAGCCACCUCAUAAAUGUCCCCAGUGCCUCCCGGACUUAGGAAGGCAUCCCCUUGUGGUUCUGGCCAGUUAGGGACACAGGGCCGGGGAGUCUAUGCCGCUCAGAACAGGCUCAGCUGCAUCUAAUCCCAGGGGAGCCCCUGAGGAGCCUGCACACCCCCCAGGCUGGCCCACAGGAGCUGAGGCAGGGCUCUCCUCCAGGUUCACCUCCUGGGCUCACGGCCCCUUCCCCACAUCCCAAGGCCGGCUCUGCAGAGUCAUGGGGAGAAGCCGGAGCCCCAGCCACACUCGCCACACACGCCGACACCCACUCUGGUGUCCUCCGGCCAGCGACAGCGAGGGACAGAGGGACGCCCCCUGCACCUGCCCAGUGCAGAGGCUUCUUGAGUGAUGCCAGGCCCUUCUCCCAGCCCUGUACGCCCCGCUAAAGACCCCAUGUCUCACCAUAAAGGAGGCCAGGAGGUUUUAAGCUUCUACCUGGUCUGAGCACUUUUCUGGAAACUAAAUAGCCACUCGGCUUCCCACUGGCAGCGGGAGAGCGUGGUGUGAGGUGUGGUGUCCAAACUCCCCCUGCAAGGCCCCUCCCCUGCAGCCCACUUCCUCCUGCCUGCCGUCUCCAGGCAGGGUUGAGGGGGGCAGGCCAGGCCUGCAGCUGGGGUCAGGGGCAUAGACAGCCACAAUGGGGGAGGUGGGGAGCAGUCUGCAGGCCUGGGCAGGCGGCUCUGUAAAGGAUGCGGGUGCUUUGUGGUGGUGAGAGAGAGGGUAUGCAGCAGACGUGGCCAUAAAUCACCCUCCUCACGGCAGCCCCACACCCACGGACCAGGGCACGGGCACAGGGCCAUCUCCUUCCAGGAGAAGGGCUGGUGUGGGUGGCCAGAUCUGACAGCCCCCAGGCCGUAGGACAGAGCCAGAAGACAGAGCAGUUCCCCCGUUUACCCAUAGCACCAGCCUCACAGUAACAGCCGGCACACAGCACUUAGGCUGCCUGGUGUUCCAGAAGCUUCUGCAGGGGCUCUAUGCUGCACUCAAGGCAUCCCUAAGAGGAGAGCAUUUUGCUGUCCCCACUUUACGGAGAAGGAACGUGGGCUCAGGGUGGUUUAAGGCGUGAAUGAAUGAAGGAGCAAGCAGUAAGCCCCGACAGCAAGGCCACCACAGCCCUCGCCCCACAGGGACGCCUGAGCAAGGACCCAAGCAGGGGACAAGCAGGCUCACCCCGCCCUUGCGGGGCUGACCACGAGGCCCCGUCCGGUGGAACACGCCAUGACGCUUCAGGAGGCUCAUGUAGCUGGCGCCGUAUGGGACAGCGGGGGAGAGAGAAAAUGCACAGCCCAGGGAAUGUGGAGACAGGCCCAGCGCCAGGCAUGGGGGCCGGAAGGAGCAGCCGGGGAGCAGGGGGCAGGGCCUGGAGUCCCGCCUUGCAGGUCAGAGGUCAGAGGUCAGGGAAGGCCUGGGUGGGGGUGAAUGAACAGGCCCCCCAGUGAUGUCAGAGGGGCAGGCGGGGAAGGGUCCCGGAAGAGCACCCCGGGGAGUGUGUACAGGAAGGCAGGAGCCCGGAGGCGGGAAGGGGGGCCUGGUGUGUCCAGCGGGCAGCAGGAGGCCAGCAUGGCUGCCACUGGGGCAGUGGCAGUGGAUGGGUGGCCUGGGGCUGGGCUUCGGGCAGGGUCAGACCACGUCAGGCCUUGUAGGCCAGUGCCAGGGCUGCAGGUGUCCUGCUGAGGGGCACAGGCCUGGGCAGGCUGGCACGGCUAUAGCAGGGUCCUUAUGGCUUAUCUGCUGAGGGUGAGGGUGGAGGGCAGAGGCUGGAGCAUCAGGGGCCCUGCCCAGCUGCGGUGCCCUGGGGAGGGCUGCCCAGCUCUGGCUGUGCCUUGAAAGUUUGCCCGAAAGAUUCACUGUUGGAGCAGAUGUGGUCACAAGAGCAAGGGGGGAUGUCAGAUGGCCUGGGCCCUGAGGAACAGAGUGCAUCCCUAGGAGGGGGACGGCCCGUCACCAGGGAGCCUUCUGAGACCAUUUUGUAGGUGGGGAAACUGAGGCUCAGGAGGAAAAGCCAGUUGCCCAGCACGCGAAGACCCAGAGCCUAUCUUCCUGCCCCUACAUCCUUGUCUGUCCCCAGAUCUGAACCUGCCCCAGCCCCAGGACUCUGAGUGCAGCAAGAGGGGAGCCGGGCUGGAGAGUGGGGAGCACGGAGACUGUGGCCUGGAUGGUGCCAGAGCAAACAGGAGAGAGGCUGCCCAACGCAGAGGCUGCAGCACAGACCAGAGGGUCCCGGGGCUGACUGGGUGGGGGCAGCUCCCAGCGAGAGGCCCCUGGGAUUUGGGUAAGUAGAGGCACAUGCAGACUCUGGCCACAGGGCACCUCGCGCACGAGGGGAGUUCACCACACAAGCUGAGCGGAGGGCGGACGCAGGAGAGCAGCGGUUUCUCGGAAGCCAAGGGCGGUCAUGGAGCCCCACGCCACAGCGCUUCCCACGGGGCCACACCAUCCGGUCUGCGGAGGGGGCUGCAUUGCCGGGAAGGACCAUCUGAUUCUGGAUUCCAGCCUCACCCUGGGCCACCGCUGAGUGUCCCAAGUGGCCCCUUAGCCCCCAGGGCCAGGCGGCAUCCCAAUCCCCUAGGGAUGUCUGUGCUCAGAAUGUGGCACACACGCCCCGGCAGGGCCAUCCUCCUCCUCCUGCACCCGCCACAGCCGUGGAUUCGGGGUCUCUAUCGUGGGCAGAAAUUCACACAGUCAAGGUGAGGGUCCCAGGAGCAGCUGUGACCAGGCCCCGGCUGCCAGGGAGAGGGGGUCUUCAGCCGACGGGGCAGACACCCUGAGAUGGACCCUUGUCCAGGGGAGGGCCCUGCCACCCACAAUUCCUUGGCAUUCCUGCACCAGCAGGACGGGCUGAGGGAGGCGCCUCACCAGUGCCAGCGCCCAGCAUCACUGUGCCCCGGUGGAGGGGGAGGCCCUUCCGAGCCUGGGCCUGGGUGUGGAUGAGGGCAGGUCUCUCACCUCUCUGACCUCAGCUUCCUCAACUGGGAAGGGGGGCCACAGCACCCCCUUAGGGGUGAUGAGGAAGUGGGAGCUCAGGGAGGACCCCGGGCAGGGCUGCCUCCUCACCUCUCUUCGGCCUUUGGACACUGGAGCUCAGAGGACCAAGUGAAUGAAUGAAUGACUCGAUCAAUCAACUGAUCCAUGAAUCCAUGGACCCCUGAACAGCUGGACAGCUGGGCUGUGGGCAGGACAGGGGACUCUGGCUGAAGCCGCGUUCAUAUGUGUUCAGCUUUAGGCCUCCACUGUGCCCGGACCAGCGGCCCACUCAGUGAGUCGAGUGUGCACCUGGCACCCCUCUUUCUGGAAAUCCACGAACAAUGGGCUCCCAGCAGAGGACUGAGGCUGAGCAGGCCACUUCCCUGGAGCUGACCCCACAGCUGUGUAGGUACAGGGUGGCCGUGAACACUUAGGGCUCUCUCGGGCUGUGCGCUUCUUGUUCACUGCAAGGAGCAGGGUGUUGGCUCCUGACCAAGCCCUGUCACUGCUGCCCAGCCACACGUGGGGCCCCUUCACCCACCCCUGACCACCUCAUGCAGGUGAAGCCACUGUGGAAACAGCCUGGCAGUCCCUUGAAAAAUGAAGUCAUAAACCCCAGCAAUUGCACUCCUGGGCCUCUGACAGAGCUUGCACGUCCCCUCCAAAGCUCGUGUUAAGCUGUGAGCCCCAGUGCCGGAGGUGGGGCCUGGUGUGUUUGGGUUCUGGGGGUGGAUCCCUCAUGGCUGGGUGCCAUGAACCCACUCACCACAGUGAGUUCUCACGAGAUCUGGUUGUUGAGAAGUGUGUCAUACCUCCCCCACAACUCUCUGUCUUUUGUUCCGGCUCUGGCAAUGUAACAAGCCUGCUCCUCCUUCGCCUUCUGCCAUGACUGUAAGCUUUCUGAGGGCUGACCAGAAGCCCAGCAGAUGCCAGCACCAUGCUUCCUAUACAGCCUGCAGAACCGUGAGCCAGCUAAACCUCUCCUCAUAAAUCACCGAGCCCCAGGUUUAUCUUUACAGCAAUGCAAGACCUGACUAAUACAGCACCAGCUCCCCAAAAUAAAAAGAAAUAUUCAAACAAAUAAGCGCACAGAAGUGUUCCCAGCAGCACUAUUCACAGCAGCCAAAAGGCGGAGGAGCCACAGGCUUGUCAGCUGAUGACAGAUAAAGAAAGCAUGGCCUGUCAUCCCAGCACUUUGGGAGGCCGAGGUGGGUGGAUCACCUGAGGUUGGGAGUUCAAGACCAGCCUGGCCAACAUGGUGAAACCCAGUCUCUACUAAAAAUAUAAAAAUUAGCUGGGUGUGAUGAUGAGCGCCUGUAGUCCCAGCUACUUGGAAGGCUGAGGAACAAGAAUCGCUUGAACCCGGGAGGCAGAGGUCGCAGUGAACCGAGAUC